ensembl:lncRNA
CUGCAGAUCCAAUGAUGGAGGUUUGAGCUGAUUUCAGAACAGAGUGUCCAGUGUGUUUGUGAGGAAGAUGCAGUGGCUGUCAUUAUGCAGUCCUCACCAUUAGUAUGUAGAGGCCACUUUCAAAAUUUUGACCAGCCAAUCUCCUUCUUCUGUGUAGCAGCACUGUGAUAACAGCUCUGAGUCUUCUCCUAUAAUGCCUGAUGAGGUUGGAGAAUACAUGACAAGGGAACUGAGACCAUUCCUCCAUACAGAAUCUCUCCAGAUCCUUCAAAUUUCGAGGUCCACACUGGUGACUCUCCUCUUCAGUUCACCACACAGGUUAUCUAUGGGUUUCAAGUCAUGGGACUGAGAUGGCCAUGGCAGGACCUUGAUUUUGUGAUUUCAUUUUGUCGGCUUCUCCACCUGCAUGAUGCUUUACACUGUAGCUGUGUGAAAAAAAGAAGAAGAGGGGGAACACCAAGUACUGAAAAAUAAAGUAACCACUUCAUCCUGGUCUGGGGAACAGUGGAUCUGGAGCCUGGGUGUUAGUUGGGAAUACACCUCGGAGAAUACACAGAGCAAGCCCAUGAGAUCAAACGCUGAAACUCCACACAGUUACCCAUGCUCAGGAUUAAACCAGGGAGCUGAAGUGGUGAGGUGGCAAUGCUACCUUAUAUGUGCCACCAUUCUGCCCACCUAGAAAGUGUGUGCGUAUUAUUUGUCUGUGCUCAUGAACCUCCAGGAAAUUAAUAUAUUUCCCUAUAAUUCAUAAAUAUAUUUUAUGAAUAAAAAUAAAAACAAAGUUUAUAAUAACAUAAUCCCAUCCAUCCAUCUUCUAUACCGCUUAUGUCACGAUUCCCCCUUGAAGCAGUGUGCUUUAAGCGCUGUCGACCGUAGUGACAUUGGGACACGUGUGUUUUGUUUAUGUUUGUCAUGUCUCCUCCCUGUUCCGUCAUUGGCUGGGAAGUCACGUGUGUCCGGAUUACCCUCAGCUGUUAGCAGUUGCGAGGGUAAUCAUGUCCGCAUAUAUACCGCGCGCUUCCCAGCACACAACGCGGAAGAUUAAGUAGUAAGUAAUAAGAAGUGAAUGUUUAGCGUUAUCAUAGUCAUAGUCAUAGUCAUAGUCAUAGUCAUAGUCAUAGUCAGUUCGCGCUGGAUAUCCGCUUCCAGUUCAUCGUCAUAGUUUGUUUCUUGUUUUGGUUAUCGACCUAGAUUCCUGCCUAGCCCCGUG